rnacentral:lncRNA from 1 species
GCAGGUCGGAGAAGUCAGAGGCGAUGGGACAAGGCAAACGGUGGUGGUAGGGUUGGUGAUGUAGAAGUGUACGGCGCACAUGGGGGGAACUAGGGUUUUCUGUUUUUUUCUUUUUUUUGAAAAUGGGUUUUGGGCUAGGGUUUGUUAUGUGGGUUUGGGUAGUUGGGCUUGUAAUGGACUGGACUUUAGCUUAUUUUGGUUUUAUUUAUUUUUGGUUUAAUUGGGCUCGGGCAAAUUUGGGCUUCUACAGGUGUUAUAUACACUCUUAACAAGUUUUACCUUGUAAAUUCUUAUGGGAUCUCUAUGCCUAUAGAAAUUAAAGCUUGAUUUAACAAAGUUUGUUUUUAAGUUUUC